rnacentral:rRNA from 1 species
UUCGUAGGCGGUGCGGCAAGUCGGGAGUGAAAUCUCUGGGCUUAACUCAGAGGCUGCUUCCGAAACUGCCGCGCUCGAGUGCGGGAGAGGCGAGUGGAAUUGCAGGUGUAGCGGUGAAAUGCGUAGAUAUCUGCAGGAACACCCGUGGCGAAGGCGGCUCGCUGGACCGCAACUGACGCUGAGGAACGAAAGCUAGGGGAGCAAACAGGAUUAGAUACCCUGGUAGUCCUAGCCCUAAACCAUCAGGACUUGGGGUGGCCUGCGUAGGCGGGUCGUCCCGUAGCUAACGCGUUAAGUCCUGCGCCUGGGGAGUACGGUCGCAAGACUGAA